UACGUAGGGUGCGAGCGUUGUCCGGAAUUAUUGGGCGUAAAGAGCUCGUAGGCGGUCUGUCGCGUCGAUCGUGAAAACUUGGGGCUUAACUCUGAGCUUGCGGUCCAUACGGGCAUGACUGGAGUUCGGCAGGGGAGACUGGAAUUCCUGGUGUAGCGGUGAAAUGCGCAGAUAUCAGGAGGAACACCGGUGGCGAAGGCGGGUCUCUGGGCCGAUACUGACGCUGAGGAGCGAAAGCGUGGGGAGCGAACAGG
rnacentral:rRNA from 1 species